UACGAAGGGGGCUAGCGUUGUUCGGAAUUACUGGGCGUAAAGCGCACGUAGGCGGACUAUUAAGUCAGGGGUGAAAUCCCGGGGCUCAACCCCGGAACUGCCUUUGAUACUGGUAGUCUCGAGUCCGGAAGAGGUCGAGUGGAAUUCCGAGUGUAGAGGUGAAAUUCGUAGAUAUUCGGAGGAACACCAGUGGCGAAGGCGGCUCACUGGUCCGGUACUGACGCUGAGGUGCGAAAGCGUGGGGAGCAAACAGG
rnacentral:rRNA from 1 species